GGCAACCCACCCCUGAUUGGACAGUCUCAUCAAGAAGGUUGGUCAAGAGCUCAAGUGUUUCUGAGAAUCUGGGUGAUUUAUAAGAAACCCUUAGCUGAAUGCAGGGUGGGGAGAACGAAAGACAAAAGCAUCUUUUUUCAGAAGGGAAACUGAAAGAAAGAGGGGAAGAGUAUUAAAGACCAUUUCUGGCUGGGCAGGGCACUCUCAGCAGCUCAACUGCCCAGCGUGACCAGUGGCCACCUCUGCAGUGUCUUCCACAACCUGGAGUGUACUAUUUGUUAAACAGGUGAAUCUACUUCUCUUAACAAAGUCUCAAUGUCCUAUUUGCAAUUUAUGUGGUAAACACUGAAGACAAUGGUCCUUAACCUUUUGGCAUCUCAGCCUCCUUUCGAAAGGUUUUACAGCAAGUUAAAAUGAAGCUGGAGUUCAGCCAAUCUUUGGAAUCCUAAGAAACACAAGAAAUUUAAUAACAGCACUCGUAACGUAGUUACAUCUUGCUUUACAGUUUACAAAGUGCUACCAUGCCUUUUUUUUCUCAUUUUGU
rnacentral:lncRNA from 10 species